rnacentral:misc_RNA from 1 species
AAAAAAGUACUGAUUCAAGGACCACCUCGCAAUCUAAAAACUUGAGGUUCGUAAAUGCAGCAGCCAAAAAAGCAGUAGAUCCAGAAGCUACGCAGACUUCAAAGAAAAGAGGUUGGAAGCCUAAUUUUUUGAACAAACCAGAGGAAGGAUACGAUCAUGCUUGGGUAAGUGGAGAAAGGAGGUCAAAAGCCCGUAUUCUCUUGAAGGGUUGUGGGAAAGAUACUAAAAAGAGAAGUAGUUGUUCACCUAAAUGUGCAAUCUCCAAAGGAUUGUAUGGUGAGGAGAAGACUCCAAUAGUGACUUGUAUAAAGAGACACCAAAAGGAGAAAAAUGACAAAUCAAUUUCAGCAAGAGAUGCACCAGGAGCUAUAACCAAGAAGAAAGUCUCACAACCUACAUCGGUUGCUUCAGAAGAAUUUGCUG